AAUAGAUACCCGGGUAGUCCACGCCCUAAACGAUGCGAACUGGAUGUUGGGUUCAACUUGGAACCCAGUAUCGAAGCUAACGCGUUAAGUUCGCCGCCUGGGGAGUACGGUCGCAAGACUGAAACUCAAAGGAAUUGACGGGGGCCCGCACAAGCGGUGGAGUAUGUGGUUUAAUUCGAUGCAACGCGAAGAACCUUACCUGGUCUUGACAUCCGCGGAACUUUCCAGAGAUGGAUUGGUGCCUUCGGGAACCGUGAGACAGGUGCUGCAUGGCUGUCGUCAGCUCGUGUCGUGAGAUGUUGGGUUAAGUCCCGCAACGAGCGCAACCCUUGUCCUUAGUUGCCAGCACGUAAUGGUGGAACUCUAAGGAGACCGCCGGUGACAAACCGGAGGAAGGUGGGAUGACGUCAAGUCAUCAUGGCCCUUACGACCAGGGCUACACACGUACUACAAUGGUGGGACAGAGGGCUGCAAUCCCGCGAGGGUGAGCCAAUCCCAGAAACCCCAUCUCAGUCCGGAUCGGAGUCUGCAACUCGACU
rnacentral:rRNA from 1 species